rnacentral:rRNA from 1 species
AGUGAACGCUGGCGGUAGGCCUAACACAUGCAAGUCGAACGGCAGCACAGUAAGAGCUUGCUCUUACGGGUGGCGAGUGGCGGACGGGUGAGGAAUACAUCGGAAUCUACUUUUUCGUGGGGGAUAACGUAGGGAAACUUACGCUAAUACCGCAUACGACCUACGGGUGAAAGCAGGGGAUCUUCGGACCUUGCGCGAUUGAAUGAGCCGAUGUCGGAUUAGCUAGUUGGCGGGGUAAAGGCCCACCAAGGCGACGAUCCGUAGCUGGGCUGAGAGGAUGAUCAGCCACACUGGAACUGAGACACGGUCCAGACUCCUACGGGAGGCAGCAGUGGGGAAUAUUGGACAAUGGGCGCAAGCCUGAUCCAGCCAUACCGCGUGGGUGAAGAAGGCCUUCGGGUUGUAAAGCCCUUUUGUUGGGAAAGAAAAGCAGCAGGUUAAUACCCCGCUGUUCUGACGGUACCCAAAGAAUAAGCACCGGCUAACUUCGU